GACGAACGCUGGCGGCGUGCUUAACACAUGCAAGUCGAACGGUGAAGGGACCGGUUUUUGCUGGUUCUGGAUGAGUGGCGAACGGGUGAGUAACACGUGAGUAACCUGCCCCCUUCUUCUGGAUAACCGCAUGAAAGUGUGGCUAAUACGGGAUAUUCUGCGCCUGCUGCAUGGUGGGUGUGGGAAAGAUAUUGUUUCGGUGUGGGAUGGGCUCGCGGCCUAUCAGCUUGUUGGUGGGGUGAUGGCCUACCAAGGCGGUGACGGGUAGCCGGCCUGAGAGGGUGGGCGGUAAGACUGGGACUGAGAGAUGGAGAAGAAUACGACGGGAGGCAGAAGUGGAGAAUAUGGCACAUUGGGCGGAAGCCUGAUGCAGCGACGCCGCGUGAGGGAUGGAGGCCUUCGGGUUGUAAACCUCUUUCGCCAGUGAAGCAGGCCUGUCCCUUGUGUGGGUGGGUUGACGGUAGCUGGAUAAGAAGCGCCGGCUAACUACGUG
rnacentral:rRNA from 1 species